GCGUGGCGUGGCGGCGGUACGUGCGCUCCGCUCUCAUUGGCUGCCUACCCGGAAGAGCGGCUGGUGCUUACGCGGUGGGCGCCGCCGUCCCGCGACCCCUGAGGAGAUGGAGGCGGCGGCGGCGGCGCGGCGGCGGCAGGAGCAGCAGCAGCGGGGCGCGGCGGCGGAUGGCGGCCGGUCGCUGUCGGGACAGUCCUACUGGCUAGACCUGUGGCUUUUCGUCCUCUUCGAUCUGGCGCUCUUCGUGGUCAUCUACCUGCUGCCCUGAGGGCGCCGGGCCCAGGGCCCAGAGCCACUCUCUCUCCACGGGAUGCACCUCAGGAGAACAGGCAGCGGAAGAGGAGGAACGUUUGUGCAGUGCGGGCAACUGGGAACACGACUCCACUUGCCUCUGAAUGCAAGAGGCAUACCUCUACGCUAUGUCAUAAUAUAUCUCUGGCUGUAUCACAAGUAUUACCGUUCAGGUUUUUGCCUGUGUCCUGUUUCUGUGUUCUGAAUUGUGCCUUAGAGGUCACACAAGACAGCUUGACUGUGCUUUUGUAAUUAGUGCCUAAAGGUUUCUUAAGGAGAAAUGAACCUAUGUAUUGUUUGAAUAAAAUCAACUGAAAGGAUGGACUAUAGAGUGGCUGAGAAUAAAAUCCAGCUCUUACGUAGA